CGGGGGGGGUAAGCGUUGUUCGGAAUUACUGGGCGUAAAGGGCUCGUAGGCGGCCAACUAAGUCAGACGUGAAAUCCCUCAGCUUAACUGGGGAACUGCGUCUGAUACUGGAUGGCUUGGAUCCGGAAGAGGGAUGCGGAAUUCCAGGUGUAGCGGUGAAAUGCGUAGAUAUCUGGAGGAACACCGGUGGCGAAGGCGGCAUCCUGGGCCGGUAUUGACGCUGAGGAGCGAAAGCUAGGGGAGCAAACGGGAUUAGAUACCCCGGUAGUCCUAGCCCUAAACGAUGAAUGCUUGGUGUAGCGGGUAUCGAUCCCUGCUGUGCCGAAGCUAACGCAUUAAGCAUUCCGCCUGGGGAGUACGGUCGCAAGGCUG
rnacentral:rRNA from 1 species